rnacentral:lncRNA from 1 species
AUAUAUCCAGAGCAUGGGACCAGGAGCUGGACUCACGGUGGGAUCUCUGAUCAGUCACAGGAGGAGCUUGACGAGCUCAAGGGGUCUCUCUCCCUAGGUGGAGAAGACAGGGCUCCAAAUGGACUUCCAAUCCCAUCCACGUCACAGCGGCAAAUUGUCAAAGACAAAGACCUAAGCCGAAACAAGGGGGUCACCCAUGACUGUUACGGAAAUCACAAGAACGAGUAUACGGCUCCUUUUCCAGGAGUAAAUGACCAUCGUGCGCCCAUGGGAAGAGUGCUGCAUCCACGGAGGACAUAGGCCAACAGUGCUCUCAAAUGGGUUUCAUGAAAGCAUCUGUGACUCAUCCCUGUUCAAGAAUGUUUUCAUUAAGAUUCAGCAGAAGCGAUGUGCCAGGUCAGCAAAUACAACAGCAAAGCCAGGGCCUGCCAGCCUGGCCAACACAGCAAGACCCCGUCUCUACUAAAAAAAUUAAAAUUAGCUGAGUAUGGUGGUGCGUGGCUGCAGUCUCAGUUACUCAGGAGGCUAAGGUGGGAGGGUCACUUGAGUCCAGGAGGCCGGGGCUGCAGGGAGCCGUGAUCACACCACUGCACUCCAGCCUGACGCCGUCUCAAAAACAAAACAAAAAAACCCGGGGCCUGAAUGCAAAGUGAACACUUGCUCCUGUUAAUCGUAGCACUUGCAUUACAGGCCUGGUGGCUCCUAGCAUCCGUCCGCAGCACAAGGCCAUGUUGUGUAGUAGCACAUCCCCAGUCCAGCCGUGGGGAACUGCCUGCAAGGGGAGGUGGUGAGCAAACAGCUGCGCAGCAGCAGGGAAGCGUCAUCUCCAUCUCACUUCAUGGCCC